AUGGCCUCUCAUUGCUCAAGAUGGAUAGUUUUGUGCAGGGACGGAGUUUGGUUUCAUGCAUCUUGCAACAAAGCUUCCAGUCGGGCAUCCUGCUUCACAUUUGGCAAAGUGGCACUAGACGUUGAUGCUCACGCCGUUGUCAGAAGCGCACUGAGCUACUCAACCUGGUCUUUUAGUGAGUGGAAAAGCCAAGUUAGUGCAUGUUCGAGUUGUCCACUUGCAUUAUUAAAUGGGUGGCAGUUCAAGGUUUCAAUUUCUAUCACACUUUGUGACGCUUCCUUCGGAUUUCUUUUGAUGAAUUACCUUUUCACUCCGAGGUGUGACUGGUCACUCACUGUCAGGACCGACAAAGUGCAUACUGAAGAUGACGAGGGGAUGGGCUAG
rnacentral:rRNA from 1 species